GAUCUCAUUUUAUUUAUUUGAAUGGUGGAUGCUGCAAGUGGUGGAAGCUUAUUAGCUAUUACUACCACUGUUCAAAAAUGGAGUUAUACAGAAUUAAAAUUUUUAAAUUGAAACUGUAUUUCCCACCAAAUGCUAAUGACUAACGAUUCAUUUAGAAUAUCAAAUGAUUAAAAAAAUGCCACGUGGUUAGGUAAAGCUCGAACAUCGAAAUACUUUGGAUUGCUUCUUAGGUGGUAAUUUCACUAUGGAAAAAAUUAUUAGGAAAAUCUAUAAAAAAAACAUCAAUGAAGCAUUUAAUAAUCUCCUACAACUUUAAUUGAUUAAAAAAUAGCUCUAAAGAUUUCCUUUAUAAAAAAUAUGAGGUAUGAAAAAAUACGUUUACAACUGUAAUCACUUAUGUUCAUCAGUUCUAACUACUACGCUUCGUGUUUCAUUGCUUAAUUUUGAUUUGUCAAAAAGUCAAAGAAGCAAACAAAAUGUUAAAAUCCAACUUUAAAGCUUAUUUAAAAGUGGAAGUCAGUUUGUUAAAGAUUUGGGAUAUUAGAGACGUUCUUUUAUCUUGAUAGAUAUCAGAUAACAAUGUGCAUACAGGGGACAAAAUUGUUUGUUCAAACAAGAAGUUGACUAUUUAAGAGCUUCCUGAAGAACUUGUAUUAUGACUAUAAAAACCUCAUGUUUCAAUUCGAAUGCAAUUGAAAUUUAAUUUUAAACUAUAUCCGGAAUCAAUGAGUCUAUAGCAUUGACUUUUGACAAUAGAGUUGUCACAAAAAAGAAAUAGAAACCUGCCCUUGAAAACUGAUCAUUUUCUUCAAUUGUGAGUACUUUUUGUAUAAAUUUAACAAAGGCUACUGGAAUAAUUGGAAAAUGGUGUAAAUGGACAAAUGACAGUGUUCUGUUUCCUCAACUUUAGUUUCUCGAGUUUUUGCACCUUUUUUACCAUACCUUGUAAAUUUUUUUAAUUAUGGAAGUUUGAGGAUUAUUGCUGCUGGAAUCUUUUGGGCAUUUGAUACAAAAUUUGAGAUAUGACAUUUUGGAUUCUUAUUUAGAAGAAGAGCGAGAAAAUUUUUAAUAAAUUGUGAGCUGAUAUAUCAUCAAAAAAUCAACAAUCCCUGAUGAUUUUGCAGUGCUAGAUAGCGAAUUUUGAUUAAAUAAAUAUUCUUAAUUA